CGUAAAUCACGGAUCUUUUGAGGGACGUACUCAAAUAUUGCCUUUUUCCGGAGUAUCAUUGUCUUGAUUCCCUGUAAUCCACGUAAUUCGGAAAAUCAUGCGACUGUAUGGACAUAAAACCAAGUACGAGGGAGGAAUAGAGAUAUACUACGACUCCCAACAAACCUGGAACCCGUUAUGUGGAGAAUGCUGGACAAACUACUCCGCCAACGCGGCCUGUAAGGAACUGGGAUUCAGUGGUGGCAUAUCGGCAAAUGUGCCUUUGGAUAGAAAAGGAAUCCU